rnacentral:rRNA from 1 species
CCUACGGGCGGCAGCAGUGGGGAAUAUUGGACAAUGGGCGAAAGCCUGAUCCAGCCAUGCCGCGUGUGUGAAGAAGGCCUUCGGGUUGUAAAGCACUUUCAGUGGGGAAGAAAGCCUUGGGGCUAAUACCCUCGAGGAAGGACAUCACCCACAGAAGAAGCACCGGCUAACUCCGUGCCAGCAGCCGCGGUAAUACGGAGGGUGCGAGCGUUAAUCGGAAUUACUGGGCGUAAAGCGCGCGUAGGCGGUCUGAUAAGCCGGUUGUGAAAGCCCUGGGCUCAACCUGGGAACGGCAUCCGGAACUGUCAGGCUAGAGUGCAGGAGAGGAAGGUAGAAUUCCCGGUGUAGCGGUGAAAUGCGUAGAGAUCGGGAGGAAUACCAGUGGCGAAGGCGGCCUUCUGGACUGACACUGACGCUGAGGUGCGAAAGCGUGGGUAGCAAACAGGAUUAGAUACCCCAGUAGUC